ensembl:snRNA U6 U6 spliceosomal RNA
GUGUUUGCUUUGGUAUCACAUAUAUUAAAUAAUUGAAAUAAUACUGAGAAGAUCAGCAUGGCCCCUACCCGAGGAUGACACACAUUUGUAAAGUCUUCCGUAUUUUU